GUAAUGUUGCAAUAUCUUUUUGUUUUAUAAAAUUGGAAUUGAAAAAAGCAACAUUUAGGAACCGGUAUGGAAGUCACGGUAUUGGUAUCGAGCCAAACUGCUAA